GCGGGAGAAAGUGGAGCUGAGAUUGUAGGAAAUUCAGAGUUAUAUUUUCCAGCCUCUCCAGCCAGAAGUCUCCACUACGUCGUGGGAAACAUAUAUCAAAUGGAGUUGAAAGGCAAAAGGAAGUGAGCAAAUACUGGGCUAGUUCUCGGAGUUGGAGGUGAUCAGCGCCACAAGAUGUUGAAACUAAUGGAGACCGCAGAGAUCAUGUGCUAAGGGGCCUUCCUCCUCUGGGGUGGGAGAAGGAAUGUUCUCUGGAGAAAUCUGUAUGAUAGAAUAGUGAAGGUAACUGGCCUGAACUACAGCUCUUGAGCCAUCUGGUUUCACCUUCAGGGAGGUGCAGAGAGUGCUGGAAUGGAGGGUUAAUUGACCAUGGUGGAAAAGAGAGAAACAUUUUGAGGUUUGUGGAUUACCCAGAUGUAACAGUGACUUGCACAUAUUCCUCAUGGUGUUGUAUACAAAUGGAUCAGCAAGAAUCAGAUACUACACAUCACAGAUAAAAUCCAUAGCAACCAGGAAGCAAGAUGGUCACAUGGGAAAAUAGGGGAUGGAAUUUUAUGGACAUUAUUCAGACCACCUGGCCUUCUUACUCCCAUGUUGACACAAAGAAAGAGGACAUGAUGCUGAAGGACAAUUGGGUGCCUCAAGGCACCUGUCUUGCAGGACUGUAGUCCUAAUGAUUCAGUUGGUGGAAGGGAACCACGGAAUCACAGAUUCUGUGUUUGCACAGCCAUGCAGUACUGGAAGACCUUUGCACAUCUAGGGAUGCUGAUGUGGGUGGUGUAUUGAUUCUGAUAAUGGUGAUUAAAUGAUGACCAUUCUCAUUCAUUAGCAGAAAUUUUACCUAACCUAAAAAUGUUUAAAAAAACCUAACCAUUGUCUUAUCUUUCAUAGCAUACUGUGAGAUUGACUAUAAAGAUGAACAUUAGGGAAAUGAAGAUGGAUUAAUGUUCUUGGCAGUCUCCAACAACCCCUGCCUUUCAUAGGUAGUCUUACUUCUUGUCGAUUUAUCAGUUACUUUCUGGCUCUUAAGUCUUAUGCUCCUCUGUGAGACCUGUUAAGAGGGAUGGUAUAUACUUGUAGGUAGAAGACUAGGGAAUGGAAGUUGGAGACUUCCAUUCCAUUAACAUAGAAAGUAAUCUAGGGAUAUAAUAAUGGACUGUUUAGGGGUAUAGUACAAUGGCCCAUCCCUGAAUAAGGAAUAUGCUAUAGGUUUGCUAAUUUUACUUGUUCAGGGUAUUUCCAAAUUAUCGAAUUUUUGUUUGUUCUUUUUCUAUAAGUGAAAGUAUACAUCAAAAUGUUUCUGAUGUUUGCAGGUGUGUUUCCUUACUACUGUCCUCCCUAACUCUGGCGACCUCUUUGACCCAGCCAUCAUCAAAAAGCAUGUUUAAGGCCAUGAUUAGGGUAAUUAAUGUUAAGAAUAAAUAUUAUUUCAUUAAGAAACAUUAUUUAACUCAUUUUCCUUAUGUGUCACUUAAUGUUAUUAAGUGACCAAUUAGUUUUUAAUUAUUUCAAAUAAAAUCUAAUUGUAUUUUAAUGUCAUAUAGGUAGAUUUUUCAAAUAUGUAUGUUCACAUUUAUAUUUAGAAACAUACAAUGGGUCAUCUAACUAGAUAUUAAAAACUUUGUAUACACUUU
rnacentral:lncRNA from 1 species